GUGCUUGCUUCCACAGCAUGUAUACUAACCCGGGAAGGAUACAGAGAUUAGCAUGGCCCCGUGCAAGGACGACACACACAUUCCUGAAGCAGUCCAUCGUUUU